rnacentral:rRNA from 1 species
UGGGGAAUAUUGCACAAUGGGGGAAACCCUGAUGCAGCCAUGCCGCGUGUGUGAAGAAGGCCUUCGGGUUGUAAAGCACUUUCAGCGAGGAGGAAAGGUUGAUGCCUAAUACGCAUCAGCUGUGACGUUACUCGCAGAAGAAGCACCGGCUAACUCCGUGCCAGCAGCCGCGGUAAUACGGAGGGUGCAAGCGUUAAUCGGAAUUACUGGGCGUAAAGCGCACGCAGGCGGUUGGAUAAGUUAGAUGUGA